rnacentral:rRNA from 1 species
UACGUAGGGUGCGAGCGUUGUCCGGAAUUAUUGGGCGUAAAGGGCUCGUAGGCGGUUUGUCGCGUCGGGAGUGAAAACACCGGGCUUAACUCGGUGCUUGCUUCGAUACGGGCAGACUAGAGGUAUGCAGGGGAGAACGGAAUUCCUGGUGUAGCGGUGAAAUGCGCAGAUAUCAGGAGGAACACCGGUGGCGAAGGCGGUUCUCUGGGCAUUACCUGACGCUGAGGAGCGAAAGUGUGGGGAGCGAACAGG